UAUAGCUCAGGGGCACAGCACUUGCCUGGCAAGCAAGAGGCGCUGGGUUUGAUUCCCGAUA
rnacentral:tRNA from 1 species